ACGGAGGGGGCUAGCGUUGUCCGAAGUUACUGGGCGUAAAGCGCGCGUAGGCGGGUUGGUAAGUCCGCUGUGAAAGCCCGGAGCUUAACUCCGGAGGGUCGGUGGAUACUGCCAGUCUUGAAGGUGCUAGGGGGAGAUGGAAUUACCGGUGUAGCGGUGAAAUGCGUAGAUAUCGGUAGGAACACCAGUGGCGAAGGCGGUCUCCUGGGGCAUUCUUGACGCUGAGGCGCGAAAGCUGGGGGAGCAAACGGGAUUAGAUACCCCGGUAGUCCCAGCCCUAAACGAUGAAUACUAGGUGUCGGGGGUAUCGACCCCUCCGGUGCCGCCGCUAACGCAGUAAGUAUUCCGCCUGGGGAGUACGGCCGCAAGGUUG
rnacentral:rRNA from 1 species